CGCUGGCGGCAUGCCUAACACAUGCAAGUCGAACGAGACCUUCGGGUCUAGUGGCGCACGGGUGCGUAACACGUGGGAAUUUGCCUCGGGGUAUGGAAUAACUCAGGGAAACUUGAGCUAAUACCAUAUAAUGUCUUCGGACCAAAGAUUUAUCGCCCUGAGAUAAGCCCGCGUAGGAUUAGCUAGUUGGUGAGGUAAAGGCUCACCAAGGCGACGAUCCUUAGCUGGUCUGAGAGGAUGAUCAGCCACACUGGGACUGAGACACGGCCCAGACUCCUACGGGAGGCAGCAGUGGGGGAAUAUUGGACAAUGGGCGAAAGCCUGAUCCAGCAAUGCCGCGUGAGUGAUGAAGGCCUUCGGGUCGUAAAGCUCUUUUACUCGGGACGAUAAUGACGGUACCGAGAGAAUAAGCCCCGGCUAACUCCGUG
rnacentral:rRNA from 1 species